UUUAAUAUUUAUUUAUUAAUUUUUUUUUUUUUAUUUAUAAUUUAUUAAAAAUAAUUAUAUAAUUUAGUGUUUUAGUAAUUUUUAAUGAAAAAAUAAUAUUAAUAAUAGUUUAUUAAGUAUUGUGAAAGAUAAUUGAAAUAAUUUGAAAAAUAAUUAUUUAAAAAGAAAAUUUUAUUUAUUGUACCUUGUGUAUCAGGGUUUAUCAAAUAAUUAAUAAUUAUUUUAUUAAUCUCGAUUUUAUAAGAGUUAAUUAUUUAUUAAAGUUAAUGUAUCAAAAUUAUUUUAAAUAGAUAAUUAGAAAUGAAAUGUUAUUCGUUUAUAAAGGUAUCUAGUUUUUUUAGAAAUAAAUUUAAUUUACAAAUUUUUAAUUUUUUAUUUAUUUAUUUAAUUAAAAAAAUUAUUAAUUUGAAUAUUUUAAGGGAUAAGCUUUAAAAUAAAUUAUUAAAAAUUAAUAAAUUAAAUAUAAAAUGUAUGAAUAGAAUUUUCAAUCAUUUAUGAGUUUGUUAUAAAUUAUUUUAUAACUUAUAUUAUUUAUUAUAAUUUUAAAUUUUUAUAAAAAUUUUUUCAUAAAUUUUUUAUGAAAAUAAAUAAUGAUAAAAUUAGUAUAUUAAUAUUGUACAUAUAAUUUUAUAUGACAAGUUUAUAUAAAGAACUCGGCAAAUUUAUAUACUCGCCUGUUUAACAAAAACAUGUCUUUUUGAGUUAUUUUUAAAGUCUGACCUGCCCACUGAAUAAAUUUAAAUGGCCGCAGUAUUUUAACUGUGCAAAGGUAGCAUAAUCAUUAGUUUUUUAAUUGAAGGCUGGUAUGAAUGGUUGGACGAAGUAUAAACUGUUUCAUGUAAAUUUAUUAUAGAAUUUUAUAUUUUAGUUAAAAAGCUAAAAUUUAAUUAAAAGACGAGAAGACCCUAUAAAUCUUUAUAUUUAUUAUUAUUUUAAUUUUUUAGAUAUAUUUUAUUUUAAUAAUAUUAAAUAUUUUGUUGGGGUGAUGUUAAAAUUUAAUAAACUUUUAAUUAUUAAAAUCAUUAAUUUAUGAUUUAUUGAUCCGUUAAUAACGAUUAUAAGAUUAAGUUACUUUAGGGAUAACAGCGUAAUUUUUUUGGAGAGUUCUUAUCGAUAAAAAAGUUUGCGACCUCGAUGUUGGAUUAAGAUAUAUUUUUAGGUGUAGCCGCUUAAAUAUUAAGUCUGUUCGACUUUUAAAUUCUUACAUGAUCUGAGUUCAGACCGGCGUAAGCCAGGUUGGUUUCUAUCUUUAAUUUAUUAUAAUAUUUUAGUACGAAAGGACCAAAUAUUAAAAUAAUUAUAUUUUAAUUUAAGAAUAUUAUUAAUUUAU
rnacentral:rRNA from 1 species